rnacentral:rRNA from 1 species
ACGGGGACCCGCACAAGCGGUGGAUUAUGUGGAUUAAUUCGAUGCACGCGAAAACCUUACCUACCCUUGACAUGUCCUGAAGCCUGGAGAGAUCCGGGUGUGCCCGAAAGGGAACGGGAACACAGGUGCUGCAUGGCUGUCGUCAGCUCGUGUCGUGAGAUGUUGGGUUAAGUCCCGCAACGAGCGCAACCCUUGUCAUUAGUUGCUACAUUUGGUUGGGCACUCUAAUGAGACUGCCGGUGACAAACCGGAGGAAGGUGGGGAUGACGUCAAGUCCUCAUGGCCCUUAUGGGUAGGGCUUCACACGUAAUACAAUGGCGCGUACAGAGGGUUGCCAAGCCGCGAGGUGGAGCCAAUCCCAGAAAGCGCGUCGUAGUCCGGAUUGCAGUCUGCAACUCGACUGCAUGAAGUCGGAAUCGCUAGUAAUCGCGGAUCAGCAUGUCGCGGUGAAUACGUUCCCGGGUCUU